AUGCUGGUGGAAUUCUCACCCCAAACCUCCAGCUACUGGAUCUGGGGAGGGGACAGAGAAUCCCUGCUUGAUUUCCGAGCAGACGUUUGCAACCCUGGGGCGCCAGCAAAAGCAGAGGUGAAUUCUCCGCGCUCUCCCGGGAAAUCCGCAUCCACUCCCGGACGCGCAACCGAGCCGGCUCCGGGCGCGGAUUCCCGCGCCGGCUGGGGCUCCCGGGUCGCUGGCGUCCCGGCCGGGAGGCGGUGCGAGCUCCCGGGGAGGGCCCCCUCCGCCUCCAGGGCGGCGCAAGCGGGGCCUAAGGUGGGUCACCUGCCAGGGAGGAAACGGGGGGUGCCGACGCACGUGGGAGGGGCGCCGACCCCGGGGCGGUGCAGAGCUGGAGGGUGCGGAAAAAGGCGGGAGGGAGGCUGGAGUUCGGACCUAGCCUUUCCCAGCGGGGGAGAGGGCGUGGAUGGGACGUCCCAGGUUUGCGGCGCAGGCAGCGUCACCCAAUCCACAGCCAACCCCACCCUCUGGGCCGCGCGGGUCCCCUCCCUCUGGACUGAAACCCGAGGAGCCGCCACGCCGCGGGGCCUGAUGCACUUGUCCGCUGCCGGUCGGCGGGAGGCGAGAACCCGGCGAGGCCGCUCGGAGCGGGCCCGACUCGGGGCAGCACCGGAGCGGGCCGGGCAGCAGUGGGCGCUCGCGAUCCUCCUCUGCCCAACGCGCUCUCCCUCAGGGCCGGGCCUCCUCCGUCCCCUCCUCCUGCUCCUGCUCCUCCUCCCGCUCCUCCCCUCCGCGGGACUGAUCGCCGAGCCUCCCGCCUGCAAAGUCCCCGGCGCGCCGGCAGCUACCAGCCGCCGUCUCUGCUGGAUCUCCGUGGGUGCCUGCGCCCCAGCCUCGUCCGCCUGCCCCGAGGCGUCCCCCUCCCUCCCGGCUCGCUCCGCCGGCCGCCGGUGCUCCGCGGCGCUGCCCAUGGCCCAGCCCGAGAGCCGACUUCGGGCGCCGGACCGGCUGGACCGCGGCGCAGCUCAGGCGGCCAUGUUACUGAGUCAAGACCCAUCUACUCUGUUCCAAGCCUGCCC
rnacentral:lncRNA from 1 species